CCUACGGGUGGCAGCAGUGAGGAAUAUUGGUCAAUGGCCGGAAGGCUGAACCAGCCAAGCCGCGUGAGGGAGGAAGGCGCAGAGCGUCGCAGACCUCUUUUGCCGGGGGACAAAAGGCCGGACUCGUCCGGUCCUGAGGGUACCCGGAGAAAAAGCAUCGGCUAACUCCGUGCCAGCAGCCGCGGUACUACGGAGGAUGAGAGCGUUAUCCGGAUUCCUUGGGUUUAAAGGGUGCGCAGGCGGGCCUUUAAGCCGGCGGUGAAAUCGCGGGGCUCAAACCCGCCGAGCCGGCGGUACGGGGGGCAUGGAGUGCGGCGGAGGCAUGCGGAAUGCGCGGUGGAGCGGUGAAAUGCAUAGAUAUCGCGCAGAACCCCGAUUGCGAAGGCAGCGGGCCGUGCCGCCACUGACGCUGAGGCACGAAAGCGCGGGGAUCGAACAGGAUUAGAUACCCGAGUAGUC
rnacentral:rRNA from 1 species